rnacentral:lncRNA from 13 species
AUGGGGAAUUGCCUAAGCCCCAGGGCUGGCCUCAGUUGUGCCUGGUGCCAGGAGGCAGUGGCGCCAUGUUGUGAGACUCAGUCUGUGGCAGCUGCACCACCAGCAUCCACCACUGCAGAGCCUGCCGUGUUCCAUCCCGGAGUGGCGGAGGUCCAGCACGUGCAGCCAAAGUCAAAGCUGCACAAAGGUUUGGCUGGCCGCACCAGGAGCUGGGUACAAAAAAAAUGGAGGCAGAAGAAAGUUUGCCCCAGUGAAAAUGAAGCUCCUGUUCAAGACCCAAAGGAGUGUACAACUAAAAAGCUUGAGGAAGAGACAUCACCUGACAUAGUAAGAUGCAUUUCUUUGUCUUGAAAAGAAAUGUCUUAUUCUGGGGCUUCUAGAAUAUCAAGUGAGUAUCAUUUCUGACUGCCAUUGUGAAUCAGGCCUCAGCUGUCAUGGACUCUAGCUACCAGUCACUGGAAUGUAUGACCAACUGAAGCCUGAUUGAUGAUGUCAGUCAAAAGAUGACAUCACUGACACACUAGUAGUGAGCAUAUUUCUCAGUAGCAACAUUUUCUUUCUGAAAAAUAAUUUUGUAUUUGACAGCCAACAUGGACUUGCUAAAUAUUCCAUGAAAACCCACUGCCUUGGUGGCUCACAUGGAAUCCCAGCACUUUGGGAGGCUGAGGCAGACAGGGCCCCAUCUCUACUAUAGUAGAGAAACCCCAUCUCUACUAUAAAUACAAGCAUUAGCUGGGCAUGGUGGCAGGCCCCUGUGGUCACAGCUAGUUGGAAGGCUGAGGCAGGAGAAUUGCUUGAACCCAGGAAGCUGAGGUUGCAGUGAGCCGAGAUCAUGCCACUGCCCUCCAGCCUGGGUGACAGAGCAAGAAUCUGUUCAAAACCAAACACAAAAACCCACUGCCCUUUCUCCAAGCAUCCUCUAUGCUUUAUUUGGUGAUCAGUGACUUGAUCACUGUUUGAUACCUGGUUUUCUAACACCACCAAGUGAAUAAAAGACCUGUGCAGUCAGGACCCA